CAUCCCCCACUGCAGCUCCCACAGCCGCCUCUCCCUCCCAUUAACGCUGAAAGGGGAGGACGGCGGCUCUGAUGGGUUUUUCUCAGGCUGUUUUCUCCCCCCUACCAACCGAUACCGGCCCUGCAGAAGUGCAGAGCGCGCAUCUGGCUCUGAGCGCGUCGGCUGAAUGCCUGCUUUCCUCUGAGCCGAUUCCCCUUGUUUUGCUUGUUCAUUAUAAGGGCUUGUCAGCGUGCUUUUUAUAAACGUGUGAUCUCUCCUUUUAGAAGCAUCUGCGCUUUAAGAAUAAGGUUUUGUCUUCCAUCGUCGUUCUUGAUAAUAGCCACUUCAAGUGCUCCAUUUUUGUCCUUAAAGUUCUAUUUUAUUGCCUUUUGUGAAUCAGUGGAGGUCAGUUUAACCCUUCACGUAUGAAAAUCGGUGGUCACUGUACAAAAAGGUUGCUUUAUUCUUCACUGAUUUAUGUUUAUGAUCACAUUUCAUUGAGUGAGAGUUGUUUUUUUUCCCCCCAGAUAAGUCCUGAUGUGUGCUGGAAGAAGUGUGUGCUUCAGCACUGAUUAAAGUCAUGUAUGAGUUAAUGAGAAGCUUGCAGAGUAUGUGAAGCAAGAGAAAAUCUUUAACCAGCUCUGCUGUUCCUUGUACAUAGCACAAACUUGUAAGCUGUAACCAGAAGGUGGAUUGGAUGUGUGAAAUGCUGCAGUAGGAGACUCCUGUAAUUGCAUCACAGGUGGAUGCUCACUCAAUUAAUGUUAGCAUCUUCACAAUACGUGAAAGUUGGGGGUUUGGUUUUUUGUUUUUCUCAAAUGUUUGUAAGGUGGCAUAUUUCAAAAUAUAUUUAAAUCCUUGGAUGAAGGACGCUACAAACCUACAAAGCAGUAUUUUCUGGCUUGGUUUUUCAUUUUAAACAAUGCCUUUGUUUGUUGGGAUGUUGUUCUGGUGCUUUUUUUUUAUUUUUUUCCCUAUGCUAACUGCUUCCUGGAUGAAUAAAUCGGUCAUACAUAAGAGACUCUCAGGUGGUGGAGGAACACAGUGCUGUAAUAUCAACAUUCUAGUUGUGGGACUUCUAAUUUAAGAAACACAUUGCCAGAAGAAAUAAGAUCAAGGCUGAAUCUUGCUUGCAUUUUGGUCCAAAUGUAAGAUCCCCUUCCUAAGCAGUCCCUGAUGAACACGGAGGGUAAUUAAGUAAAAAUAAAACCUUUUACUUCAGCCCUCUCCAUCGUUUUUAACGUAAGCAAGAAAAUGCAACUGUUUUCAUUAUGUGUUCUGAUAUUUCUUAAUUUUGUACUGCAUCUUCAGACCUCCAGAGGCUUAUAAUUGGUGUGAUUUGGGGGUAUUUCUAGACGAUACUUUUAAGGAAAUCAUCUCACUGUGUCCCAGAAGGAGCUACUGAGCACUCAUUCUCUUAAAAAAAAAAAAAAAAAAAAAAAAAAAAAGACUGAAUUUCUACAGCUUUGCCUUCUACCCCCAUCCCCCUUUUUAUUCCUCCCAAUGGAAUUUUUGUAUUUAAUUGUUGAAUUCUUCUUUCCGUAGAUUAAGUUAAAUAUUUAUUGGUAUCAGUUGGAUUUUUUUUUUUUUCUAAAGAAGAGAGCCUUAUUGCUGAGACAGUCUCUUCAUACUGCAUUGAGGAUGUGACAUAGAAAGGGACUGAAGGAAAGUUGUCUUGUGCUGGGAAAGUUAGUGCUGUUUUUGGAAAAAAAAUAUUGUAGGAAAUGAAAAUUAAAAAUACAUUUUAUGCUGGUGGGAACUUUGUAAUGAGGCUGAGAGAGGAUUUGAAAUCUCAGAAAAGUGAUUAUUACAAGGGAAAAAGCAGGGCUUUAUCAUCCAUUUGUAAAAGUUCUCCAGCUGAAUAUCCUUUUGGGGAACUGAAAUUUGGCUCGAGUCUGUUUAUGAACAUCUGUUGAAUGUAGUUUUAAAAAGGCACAGAUUAUAAUCCUAGUUUCUGUUGUCUGUUUAGGCUGGAAUUGACAAAAACAAAGUACAAAAAACAAAGAUGCAAUGGCCUUUUUUUUUUUUUUUUUUUUAAAUAGUGAGCUGCAUGAAUCUUCCACAGUCUGCGGUGCUGAUUACCUGGCUGCGUGUGUUCAUUCUGUACAUUUUUCUCCUUGGCUUAUGACAUACAGAUGUGUGGCUUCCGCCCCCGUCUGUAGUUGGUUAAUUCCAUUACUUUUCCAGUGAGCUUUCAAAUUUUGUGGGGUUUGGUUUUUUGUUUUCUUCACCAGCAGCCUGUUGGAUGCCUGUGUUGUCUCUGAUGUUUUUGUACAAGGAGUAGAGUGAUGUAUUUGAGGGGAAAUUUUGAGAAAUCUCAGGUGUUCCCAGAACCGUCGCCGUUCACUCAGUCCAGCUUUGCAUCCUUCCCACCUGUCUUCAACUACAUUUCUGUAAAUGCAAUCACUUGGUGUCUGCUGUCUCUAGAUAGUACUACUUCAGCAUCUAUUUCUGCAGUAUUUGUGACCUCCUGUUAUUCACGGAGGUCUUCGCUGUAAUUUUCCCUCCUAUUAUUUUGCUUCUUUUGCAGCCUGAUGUUUUUGUUGUUGUUUUAUAUUCCCAGCAAGCAUCUUGUGAAUGCUUCAGCCCAAAAUUUAGGUCAUCUCUGAUAGAAGAAGGAAGAGGAAACCUAAAAAGUAAAAAUAAGAUUUCAAUGUGCUUUAAAAAGCGCUUUUCUUUUAGGGGGGGGGGGGGGGGAAAGAAAAAAAAAAAAAAAAAAAGAGAGGAAAAGCAUGCGAACUCUUCUGCAUUUGACGUUCUGUGUGGACCGGGGAGAAUGCAGGGUGCCUCUGUUUGAUUUCAGGAGGAGAGCUGUGUUAUCUUCAUGUGACCGUGGCUUCUUACCCAUGUGCUUUCCUGGUCUUUUUCAUUUUCACACCUGCCUUGAUCUUUAAUCGCUCAAAUUAUUCAUAGACUUGCCCUGGAAGAAGAAGAGGCUGACCUCUUCCCAUCUGGAGUAGAUGGAUUUACUAUCAGUAAUUGUAAAUGGACUCGGAUGACUUAAUGGUUUUUGUGCUUAAAUUUUUUAAUUCUGUGAUUUCAUUUCUUUUUAAGGAUUCUGCCCACAGCUUCCCUGAACUGAUAGAUCUCUAUGGUAUAACUUCAAGUUACUUUGUGCAAACUAUAUCUUAACAUUGGGCUCGCAUCCACAACGUGCUGAUGAUCCCCCAUUGACUGCUGAGUUGUCAUAGAGCUCCGUUUGCACAGUACCAGGCCUGGAAGUUGCAGUUGUCUUUUUUUUUUUCCCCCUGUAAUUAUAUACAAUGUCUUUCAUUACAAAGAACCUGAAGACAAUUUAUGAAAUCAGCAGCCACAAAAGUAAUGCGGUGCCCGUUGGGGGUUAUGUAUUCACAUUGAUUACAAUUUAACAAUCCCUCAGCCUGAGGAUAUCUGAGAGGACUUAGCGCCAACUGCUUUUCAAUCCGUGCGCGCUGCUAUAAGCUGCAAGCUGGAACUGAUAGAUAUCUGUUGCUAUUGCCAGCAACUAUUGGUUCUCUGUUACUUCAGUACCUUAAUUUAAAUUAUUAAGAAACUUGUGAAUCUGUUUUGUUUUUCUACUCUUCCUAGCACUGAAGCUUCAUCUGGCCUAGAUGUACAAUGAAUACUUUGGUGAAUGUGAUUUAGUCCAGUUUCCUCCAUUAACUCAAGAAAGACUUUUUUCUAUAUCGCUUUUCUCUCAAAAGGAGAGAAGACGUGCACAGCUGGAGUUCACCUGGACAAACUGAACUUGGAGCAGAAUAAGAUGCAAAAUGAGAACAUUUGUGAUUUAGACUCAAGAAACUUUGUGUUGUUCUGCUGUAAAAUUGUACUUGGUAAAAAUCAACCAGAGGGAACCACCUGUAACCAAACACAUCUUGAUGAUGGAGGGAGCACUACGAGGUGACUUCAAUGACUCAGCUUUGGAGCUGUGUAUUUAGAUAGCCAUCCCAUAUUUCCUCAGUGCUGUCUUUUGCAUACUGUGCUGCUGUUCUCUCCGUUUUGCUCUUCCUAAUUCUGAGAAUGCAAUGAUUUGUUUUUUUUCCACAAGCAGAUGACAGUUUGCUGUCUCCCCAGUGUCUUCCCAUGGUUGCCUGUAUGAGAUACGAAGAGCACAAUAACACUAUUUGAUAGAGGAAGGUCUUAGCUGCAAAACACUCUUUUUCAACGUAGUCACCACUGUUAGCUGUGCGUUUUUGCAAUGAAGAGGAGCCUGCAUGCCAUACAUCAAAAUCUGUGCUGGUGAAGGUGAUCUGCUGCCAGUACUGCUGAAACGCAGCACCCACUGCCUCACUGCGCUCACAUCGACGUUCAACAAAUGUCAAUGAACUUCAUGCUGUUUUUUUCCACGUGGAAGAAUUCAGUUCCACACCUUCGCUUCAUACGCAUGUCCAUGUCAGCUGUGAUUCUGUCAGCAUGCCCCUCUGCUGCCAUCUGCCACAACAAAAUAUAAUGGACUGUUGGCAGGAAGGCUCAACUACUGCCAUGCCACCAACAGCUGCCUGUGGCGUUGUGAGCCAAUGUAAUAUAGGAGGCACUACCUUUGGAACAGCUCUGCUCAUUGUUUAGCACCAUUAUAAUUUUCCAGCUACCCCUUCAACAAUUGCAGUUGCAAAUUGAUGUGGCUAUAACUGAUGUGGCUUGGAGUGCAGGUUGUGUCCCAAAGGAUGCUCGUGUGCAGACUGCAUCUCUUCUUAAUCCCAUAGUAACGCUGCAGCUAAUUCUGAUGGUUUCAGCUCUUCUGAUGAGCUACCACGCUGCUUUUUGUUUUGUCUUUCUUUUCUGAGUUUAAACAGUGCAUCUUGUAUUUGUUCAACUUAAGGUUACUUUUUACUUGCAGUGCUUUUGUAAUGUCUCCAUUACUUAUGGGAGCUGAGGGUGUUCUUUUUGAUUCAAAGUGUUUGAUGAAUAUAUUUGUAGGCAUCUGCAAACUUUGUCCUUGCUUCAUCUACUUAUUCUGUAUUUACUUUAAGAUAAAACUAUCUUCUCUCCCCUAGAUACGAUGGGUCUUUCCUUCAGCUAUAGUAGAGCUUCCUGUUGGUGUUUUGUUAUUUCUGAGUAAGGAAAGUCUGAUAUCUUUCAGCUCAGUUGUUGCUUCAUCUCCUCUGCUCUCCCAGGGGGUCUCACAUGCACUUUCAGUUCUGCCUUACAUUCUUGAUUUCGUGAUGUUCCCUACUAUUUACAUUUCCUCACGUAUAUUCUCUUCAUACCAUCUGCUACUUUAUGUCUUGCUCAUCUCUGAAUUUGGUAACCAUGCUGCAUGCAACAGCAUGCUACCUUAUUUUCUUCAAAUUUAAUAAAAAGGUUUUAAAAGAACAAAGCAAGUUAAAAUUCACCAUUUCUAUCUAGACAUCAUAACUGAAGAAGGAGCCGUUGAAGGCCUUCAAAUCCUCAAGAUGGAUGCAUUUAUAGCCGAGAUCUUGUUUGUUGUUUAUGCGAGAGGCAUGUUAUCCGAUCCGCCACAGAGGUUUCACUACUGACAAAAAUUAAGUUGUUAUAGAAUGCUCCCCUAUCAAUUCUUUUCUUUAGAAUGCAGUAAUUCUACUAAGCAGUAUUUACUUCAGAGUCGGUGUGUGGCUGUGCCUUGUUAGAUAAAAGCUGCAGUACUAAAACUGUUCUACUGAACUUAGCUCCUGACCUCCCUUCUAAGGCCACGUCUACAAAGGGAUGAUACAUCAACCCAGUCCGUUUGAUCUAAUUACAGCUAUUUAACUAUGUUGAGCACAAGUACAUCCAUCUCACUUUGUUAUGCUGAUUUAAAGUAUUUUCACUGUUGAUCGUGUGCACACCAUCCUUUUUUAUAUCAAUACCUCUCAAAAUACUCUGUGCCAUUAUCCUGCGGAGCGCUAUUCUGCUUCUUAGCUCCAUGUUCUUUUUCACAGCAGGCUGAUAGGGAAUUCUCUGGAAUGUGGGAAUCCUACAGGUCAAACUGACAAUUUACUAUUGCUUUUUUCUUGGCAUUGAUUUUUGCCUGUGCAACUUCUUCCUCAAAAUGCUGCAAGGUGGCACGAAGAAAAAGCCAGUAAAUCCAUUAUAAGGCUUGUUCCUCAGAGGCUGCAUAGGUGGAAUGGUUUUCUUCUACAGCUUUGUAAGUAGCAAAAACUCUGUGUAGUAGAAGAAAUGCAAAAAGGGAAACCAUCAGGUAUGAUCAACCUGUAACUUCCAUGCAGUGUUUCUGGAGCAGCUGACAUGGUGUGCUGUGUCUGAGUGCAGUCGCUCACAGUGCCUGGGUAGCACAGGAGGCCGAUGCAGCAGCUGAACAGCAGGAUGAGAUGCAUUGCACUCAUGGAAAUCUGUGCAGAUCUCAGCUGCAGAGGUAAAAUGCAAAGCGAGGGCUUCCCUUAACAUACAGAAGCCCGUUGCUGUCUAUGGAAAAGCAUUAUUUCUGAUUACUUGCGGAACCAGCUGGGUUUGAGUCAGGGAUGUUGUCAUGGGUUUUUUAAUGCAUAUAGCUGAAGAAGAUGCUGAUCUUGUGUCAUAAAGCUAAUGCGUGAGAAGUUACUGAGAGCUUUUCCCAGGUACAAACCAUGAAUUAGGCCAUAGGGGUCCAAGGAACAAACAUGGCCUAUUGAGCCAGGAGAGAGAAUUUAUGAAGACUGUGAACAGUUUCUUAAUGCUUGCACAAGGCCUUGCUCAUCAGUGAAGGUGAUUUACCAUUAAGUGGAUACAGAACAGUACUACAAAACUUUCUCAUAACAGUCUAGAAACUUGAAAUUGCUCUGAUUUGUACAACAUCUGUAAGAUACUAAAGGGUGGGUGAAGACAAGGAGCAGAAAGGUGACUUUGAUAUUAUCCAGUGAGAAAAACCUCAGCAAAGUAUUCCCUUUGAGGAAGACCUGUGCACCUUUCUCAACAGAAUUUUUCUCCCUGUACUUUCUAUAAUGGUAUAGCAGUCAGAGAGACAUCAGGAAACUUUGGUCCCAUGUGGAUAUUUAAUGUCCUAUCUUUAAACAUAUAUAUCUUCUACCCAUGCUGAUAAUAUUUUUCGUUGUUUCUGCAUCAGUUUUGUUGCUUUAUCAAAUCUUACUGUGAAUUUAGACUAUUUCCUGUCCCAUUUUCAGUGAACAUGAACAUUCAAUUGCCAACAUUCAGCAUAACGAAGUGGAAGUUUGGUAUUUUGUCCCCCCAUGGUUCUCAGGUCAGCUCUCCCCUUUCGUUUUUCUGAGUCACCCAGCAUUCUCCUUGUUCCUUGUGCUCUUCUCUGUUGGUUUUUAUCAGUUUUUAUGUUUUACGUGGUGCCUAAAACAGGAUACAAUAUUCCAGCUGAGAAUUUCACCAGCACUGAGUUGAACAAGGUAAUUGUCGUGGGUGUCCGAUGUAAAAGAACCUUAUUAAAUAUUUCUGUGAUGCAUUAUCUUCAUUGUGUCGACUCAAAUUCAGUUUGUGAUGCAUUACAACCACUGGCUCCUUUAGUGAGCACUGCCUGCUACUCCUCUUAUAUUGCAUGCUUCUGACUUGAUCCUUGGCUACAGAAAACUGCUGAAAAUGUCACGUUUUCAGGAGGAGGAAAAGAGAUGAGGAGCUUUUCCAAAGGCACUGCUCCUGUGAAGUCCAAGUGGGUCAGCCUGCCUAUGGAAGAGAGAUUAUCACUUAAUGUUUCUUCACAAUAAUGGGUGGGAAUGACAAAGUUUUGUCAUUAUUCACAGAAAUCCUAAUAUGAGCUGGAGUAGGAAUGUUUGCUUGCAAAUGAGAAAGAAGAUAUUUACAGUACGUGAAUCUUAGAUUAUGCUUCUGGAUAUAUUUUUCCACUCUCCUGUUACUCACAAGUUCUGCAGAACGACUUAAUAAAUGUCCCUUUCAAUAAAUAAUAGCUCUGGCUGCCAGAGUUGAGAUGAAGUGAAGUUAAAAUUGGAAGGCUUUUGGAGAAAGAAGAAAACAACCAGAGAAGUUAUGCAAUUCUGCUUUUGUCCAAAACACUGAGAACAUAAAGAUGCUAUCUAUGGAUGUGAGGUGUUCUCUUUUGGUCUUCUAUGUGGUUAUCAGGUUAGAACACUGCCAGAGCCAACCAAAGAAGACACAGAUAUGUUUCUGCCUAAUGCCCCUUGCAUAUUGUUGUUUAAAGAAACAUGAAGCAGUGGCAAGCGAGGAAGGAAUCUGACAGCAUGGAACACGGUGUGCUUAAAAUCAUGAAAAACAUCCACUUGAGAACAGAAAAUCCCAACAAGAGCAGCCAAGGUUCGUUUGCAAAAGAGAAGUAUCGCUAAAGUAGGCGUAUUUUUAUCUGGAGAAAUUAACAGACCUUUGAUUGGAAGAAUUUGAAUAUUCCUGGAGAAGUUGUGAUCAAAAGUCAUUAGCAAAAAAAAUAGAAAUAUAGUGGAAACCUUUAAUGGUCCUACUGGGUCUCCUUUUUGGAAAGCUCUCCAGGGGCCAUUAUAGUGCUGAGGUGAGUUUGGGUGUGAGUGGAGGUUUGGCUGCAGCAAGGGUCACUGCUCAGUUCUCUGAGUGCAGUCUGACAGAUUUUGCUGAGCUCGUGUGUGCUCCAUUGCUGGGUCAGCUUGCAUAUUCUGCACGGUGUAUUUCAUGCUGCUUUACGCUCCUGUGACCCGGAUGAAUUUAGCAGGGCGCUGAGCAGCAGGUUUCCUGUGUGUGCUUCUUGCACUUCUGCCCAUCUUAAUCCAGUUCUGUGCACUGUGAUGCGGUCUGUGGUUACAAAUCAAAUAAUAUCAAAUCAAAUAAUUUAUAUCAAAUAGUAAGACCUGCCUUCUCAAAUGCUGUUGCAUUUUGUGACUUUUUUCAGAAUUUUUUUUUACUUACAUAUCUCGUUUAUUAUAUCUAGUUCAAAUUACUGCAGCAAAUAGGGAUUACUAAUUGUAAUGGAUCUUCUUGAUGUUUUUCACGAUGGUAUCUAAAUGCCUUUUAACUUUAAAUGUGUCUUCACAGUAUUGCAAAGUCUUUUCUUCUCAGUGCAUUGAUGCAAAGCAGGGAAAUUAAUGGCAAAGCUAUCAAAACUCUCCACUGCAUCUAUAUAUUCCACAGUGACAAAAAACAAAUUUUCAGCUUGUCCCAGUAAAAUAAUUAGAAAUAUCUUCUUCAGCCACCCACCAGGUUGCAGAUGGAUAUUCCAGGCUGUUGGUGUUUUUUUUCCCCAUGAUGCUGAACUGAAGGAGCCUCUGUUGGUCACCAUGCCUUAUGUGGGCACUCACACUUCAUGCUGUCCAUAGAAACGUCAAAUGUUAGCACAAAAGCUGUUGACCUUUUCAGCCUAGCAGCCCCAGCUGAAGGAUUUUUUUUUAAUACAUAUAUAUAUUUAAUAAGACCUCCUAUUCUGACUUGCAUUCUCAAGUGUAAUCGGGCCUUUUUGUAUAUUUGGUGCCAACAUAACCCUGUAAUUUCAAUACCUGUUUUCAAACCAUAACCCGCGGUCAGCCUUUCUUUUGUUGGAGUUACCUGAGCUAAAACUUCAGCCUUUUCUCGUUAUAGAUUCUUCGCCUUUAUAACCAUCUUAGUGAGCCUUUCUACGACCAUUCCAAUUUUCAUGUAUCAUCCACGAAUAUAAACUGUGCUCAGAAUUUUUUCAGUAACAUCUGAGUGUGCCUUACCUGGCCAUCAGAUCACAUUAUCUCCUUCAUUUUCUGUGGUGUGUGGUAAUUCUGUGACCAAAUAUGCUUUCAAGUCUUUGUCCUUCUCCAUUAACUAAGAUGAAUUCCCGUUUACAGGAAUGUUGGCUGUUAGUCCCUGGGUGAGCAGCCUCACGCUUUGCAGUCUUCUUAUUACUGCAUUCCACCCCUGCUGGUCCCGCCCUCGGAAUUCCCAUCUUGUUCUAAAACAUUGUCUGAUUUUCCUCCACGUCUUUUCCCCUCCAGGUGAGAAAUGAGCCUUGGACCUCUCACUGCGCUGGCUACUCCAUACAGAUGCAUACAUAUGUAUAACGUACAUGUACACAUCUAUACAUAUGUAUAAAGUAAUCCUUAAGAAAAUCAGUCUGAGAAUAGCCAAAAUAAAUAAAAGGGUACAGUGGGAAGGAGGCGAAUCUGGAGGAAGACAUGGAGAACACUGCAGCAUGCAGUGAUUGCAUUCAGGAACUGAAUUUUCCAGCCGCUGGGCUGAACUGUGUUUCCUGAAAGAAAGAAAACAAGCGAUGCUUAGAACACUUUGUUUCAUAAUGUGUGUUGUUACACUGGUUGCCUUUUGGAGCACCUUUCACUGAGGUAUCUGAUUCCCAAGGCAGGAACACAACUGGCGACCUUGGGUGGUUUUCUGCUCGGUGUGCUCUGCCUUUGUUUUACUGAAGGUGCCUGUGAUAGUAUCAGCCCUUAUGAAGAAGUAAUAUUGCUAAGGUUUGAUUGUGGGCCUUCUCAAAGUCAGAGAUAACAGCUAGAUAAAAAAAUGACCUUGUUUCUCAGCUCCAGUAAUGAGUUCCAAACGUUCUGGUGAAGCCAGUCUAAGUGCAAGUGAGCUUCUGUGAGGUACGAACUCAUGAAGCUAAGAGCUGCUUCUGGUACCACUGCGCAAGAUGAUGGAACGGAGGCCUUAAAAAGCGUCACAUCCCUACAUGCAGACUGCGGCUCCCCGUGUGGGUUUGACUACAGGAUUCAGACUUUGACAUAAAUCCAAAUUUAUGGAUAGCUGUUGAAAGGUCGAUGAGUAAAAUUUCUGCCUGGCCCUUC